rnacentral:rRNA from 1 species
UACGUAGGGGGCGAGCGUUAUCCGGAUUUACUGGGUGUAAAGGGAGCGUAGACGGCAUGGCAAGUCAGAUGUGAAAGCCCGGGGCUCAACCCCGGGACUGCAUUUGAAACUGUCAGGCUGGAGUGCAGGAGAGGUAAGCGGAAUUCCUAGUGUAGCGGUGAAAUGCGUAGAUAUUAGGAGGAACACCAGUGGCGAAGGCGGCUUACUGGACUGUAACUGACGUUGAGGCUCGAAAGCGUGGGGAGCAAACAGG